CCUACGGGGAGCAGCAGUGGGGAAUAUUGGACAAUGGGCGAAAGCCUGAUCCAGCCAUGCCGCGUGUGUGAAGAAGGCCUUCGGGUUGUAAAGCACUUUCAGUGGGGAAGAAAGCCUUGGGGCUAAUACCCUCGAGGAAGGACAUCACCCACAGAAGAAGCACCGGCUAACUCCGUGCCAGCAGCCGCGGUAAUACGGAGGGUGCGAGCGUUAAUCGGAAUUACUGGGCGUAAAGCGCGCGUAGGCGGUCUGAUAAGCCGGUUGUGAAAGCCCCGGGCUCAACCUGGGAACGGCAUCCGGAACUGUCAGGCUAGAGUGCAGGAGAGGAAGGUAGAAUUCCCGGUGUAGCGGUGAAAUGCGUAGAGAUCGGGAGGAAUACCAGUGGCGAAGGCGGCCUUCUGGACUGACACUGACGCUGAGGUGCGAAAGCGUGGGUAGCAAACAGGAUUAGAUACCCCUGUGUC
rnacentral:rRNA from 1 species